GCGGCAGAGCUCAAUUUGAAUCCGGCCCCCCUGGGGGCCUGAGUUGUAAUUUGCAGAGGAUGCUUCGGGCGCGACCGCGGUCCAAGUCCCCUGGAACGGGGCGUCGUAGAGGGUGAGAAUCCCGUCUCCGGCCGGCCGGUCUCGCCCGUGUGAAGCUCCUUCGACGGAGGUCGAGUUGUUUGGGAAUGCAGCUCCAAAUGGGUGGUAAAUUUCAUCUAAAGCUAAAUACUGGUCGGAGACCGAUAGCGCACAAGUAGAGUGAUCGAAAGAUGAAAAGCACUUUGAAAAGAGAGUUAAACAGCAUGUGAAAUUGUUGAAAGGGAAGCGCUUGCGACCAGAGUCGGCCGCGGGGGUUCAGCGGGCAUUCGUUGCCCGUGCAAUCCCCCGCGGCCGGGCCAGCGUCGGUUUCGACGGCCGGUCAAAGGCCCCCGGAAUGUGUCGCCUCUCGGGGCGUCUUAUAGCCGGGGGUGCAAUGCGGCCAGUCGGGACCGAGGAACGCGCUCCGGCACGGACGCUGGCAAUAAUGGUCGUCAGCGACCCGU
rnacentral:rRNA from 1 species